UACGGAGGGUCCAAGCGUUAUCCGGAAUCAUUGGGGUUAAAGGGUCCGUAGGCGGUUUAGUAAGUCAGUGGUGAAAGCCCAUCGCUCAACGGUGGAACGGCCAUUGAUACUGCUAGACUUGAAUUAUUAGGAAGUAACUAGAAUAUGUAGUGUAGCGGUGAAAUGCUUAGAUAUUACAUGGAAUACCAAGUGCGAAGGCAGGUUACUACUAAUGGAUUGACGCUGAUGGACGAAAGCGUGGGUAGCGAACAGG
rnacentral:rRNA from 1 species